GGUCAAUAAUUUACAACAACAAAUCAAGGAAAAUUCGUUCAAACACCCUCUGACGGUUUCAAAAUUCUUCCAACGUCGACGACAAUUCCCUCCUGUGACUUUCCCCGCCGCCGCCGGGGGUCUCUUUCUUCUGACCUUCACUCCCCAGCGACGGUUCCUUCUUCAGUAAAUCCACCCCGCCGCCGAUCGACGGCUCUUUCCGGUGAUACCCUCUCCUCCUUGUUAUGAUAUCUCCGAAUCUCCGGAACAGCGCUCUCUUCUUCCUGGGAUUGUUCCUGUCGCCGUCAAGAUCGUCCCCGUCAAGAUGCUCGAAUUCCUCGGCCUCGUGCUCCUGGUCGGCGAACGAGAACGACUUCUUCCUCUGGUGCCUCCCCGCCGGUACCGCCGCCGCCGCCACCGGCGACUCCACCACGUCGAAGAUCGAUCCCUUCAGCGGAUCGAAAUCCUCCGCGUCCUCGAACUCCUCGUUCUCGUGGUGAUCCUUGACCUUCUCUUGCUCGUCCGCUUCCUUCGCUUUGGUGGUUGGGAUUAUUAGCUCCCUCAGGUUGAAACUGAACGCGCUGCUCAGCUUCCUCUGGUGCUCUUUCGGCGGUGGCGCCGCUGGAGUUGCUUCACCUCCGCCGUGAGACUUGUGUUGUUUUUCCGUGACGACGGUCGACGCUUCUUUAUCUUUAUCCUUCUCUUUAUGACGAUCCUUGUCCUCGACUUUCCCGCCACCAGUGGCGGCGGAGGCGGAGGCGG
rnacentral:lncRNA from 1 species